GACGAACGCUGGCGGCGUGCUUAACACAUGCAAGUCGAACGGAAAGGCCCCUUUGGGGGUACUCGAGUGGCGAACGGGUGAGUAACACGUGAGUAACCUGCCCUUGACUUCGGGAUAACGUCAGGAAACUGGGGCUAAUACCGGAUAGGAAUCCUUGCUGCAUGGUGGGGGUUGGAAAGCUUCGGCGGUUUUGGAUGGACUCGCGGCUUAUCAGCUUGUUGGUGGGGUAGUGGCUUACCAAGGCUUUGACGGGUAGCCGGCCUGAGAGGGCGACCGGCCACCUUGGGACCUACGUAAGGCCCAAGAGUCUACGGGAGGCAGCAGUGGGGAAGAUUGCACAAUGGGCGGAAGCCUGAUGCAGCAACGCCGCGUGCGGGAUGACGGCCUUCGGGUUGUAAACCGCUUUCAGCAGGGGCGAAGCUUGUGGUGACGGUACCUGCAGAAGAAGCACCGGCUAACUACGUG
rnacentral:rRNA from 1 species